AAUUGAUGAUGAGGGCACUAAUCAACAACGACUUAAACUUGUCCCAAGCAUGGUACAAGUUCUCUCCACCUUUCUACCUUAAACUCAAUAUAUCACUCCUCAAUUU